rnacentral:rRNA from 1 species
AAAUUGAAGAGUUUGAUCAUGGCUCAGAUUGAACGCUGGCGGCAGGCCUAACACAUGCAAGUCGAACGGUAACAGGAAACAGCUUGCUGUUUCGCUGACGAGUGGCGGACGGGUGAGUAAUGUCUGGGAAACUGCCUGAUGGAGGGGGAUAACUACUGGAAACGGUAGCUAAUACCGCAUAACGUCGCAAGACCAAAGAGGGGGACCUUCGGGCCUCUUGCCAUCGGAUGUGCCCAGAUGGGAUUAGCUUGUUGGUGGGGUAACGGCUCACCAAGGCGACGAUCCCUAGCUGGUCUGAGAGGAUGACCAGCCACACUGGAACUGAGACACGGUCCAGACUCCUACGGGAGGCAGCAGUGGGGAAUAUUGCACAAUGGGCGCAAGCCUGAUGCAGCCAUGCCGCGUGUAUGAAGAAGGCCUUCGGGUUGUAAAGUACUUUCAGCGGGGAGGAAGGGAGUAAAGUUAAUACCUUUGCUCAUUGACGUUACCCGCAGAAGAAGCACCGGCUAACUCCGUGCCAGCAGCCGCGGUAAUACGGAGGGUGCAAGCGUUAAUCGGAAUUACUGGGCGUAAAGCGCACGCAGGCGGUUUGUUAAGUCAGAUGUGAAAUCCCCGGGCUCAACCUGGGAACUGCAUCUGAUACUGGCAAGCUUGAGUCUCGUAGAGGGGGGUAGAAUUCCAGGUGUAGCGGUGAAAUGCGUAGAGAUCUGGAGGAAUACCGGUGGCGAAGGCGGCCCCCUGGACGAAGACUGACGCUCAGGUGCGAAAGCGUGGGGAGCAAACAGGAUUAGAUACCCUGGUAGUCCACGCCGUAAACGAUGUCGACUUGGAGGUUGUGCCCUUGAGGCGUGGCUUCCGGAGCUAACGCGUUAAGUCGACCGCCUGGGGAGUACGGCCGCAAGGUUAAAACUCAAAUGAAUUGACGGGGGCCCGCACAAGCGGUGGAGCAUGUGGUUUAAUUCGAUGCAACGCGAAGAACCUUACCUGGUCUUGACAUCCACAGAACCCUGUAGAGAUACGGGGGUGCCUUCGGGAACUGUGAGACAGGUGCUGCAUGGCUGUCGUCAGCUCGUGUUGUGAAAUGUUGGGUUAAGUCCCGCAACGAGCGCAACCCUUAUCCUUUGUUGCCAGCGGUCCGGCCGGGAACUCAAAGGAGACUGCCAGUGAUAAACUGGAGGAAGGUGGGGAUGACGUCAAGUCAUCAUGGCCCUUACGACCAGGGCUACACACGUGCUACAAUGGCGCAUACAAAGAGAAGCGACCUCGCGAGAGCAAGCGGACCUCAUAAAGUGCGUCGUAGUCCGGAUUGGAGUCUGCAACUCGACUCCAUGAAGUCGGAAUCGCUAGUAAUCGUGGAUCAGAAUGCCACGGUGAAUACGUUCCCGGGCCUUGUACACACCGCCCGUCACACCAUGGGAGUGGGUUGCAAAAGAAGUAGGUAGCUUAACCUUCGGGAGGGCGCUUACCACUUUGUGAUUCAUGACUGGGGUGAAGUCGUAACAAGGUAACCGUAGGGGAACCUGCGGUUGGAUCACCUCCUUA